AACGAACGCUGGCGGCGCGCCUAAUACAUGCAAGUCGAACGAGAAGCUGUAGCAAUACAGUUGUACAGUGGCGAACGGGUGAGGAAUACAUGGGUGACCUACCCUCGAGUGGGGAAUAACCAGCCGAAAGGUUGGCUAAUACCGCGUACGCUUCCCAGUCUACGGGUUGGGAAGGAAAGCGAUGCCGUGGGUAUCGCGCUCAAGGUUGGGCUCAUGUCCUAUCAGCUGUUGGUGAGGUAACGGCUCACCAAGGCUUCGACGGGUAGCUGGUCUGAGAGGACGAUCAGCCACACUGGCACUGCGACACGGGCCAGACUCCUACGGGAGGCAGCAGUAAGGAAUAUUGCGCAAUGGGCGAAAGCCUGACGCAGCGACGCCGC
rnacentral:rRNA from 1 species